rnacentral:rRNA from 1 species
AAUAGAUACCCUGGUAGUCCACGCCCUAAACGAUGUCAACUAGCUGUUGGGGGCCUUCGGGCCUUGGUAGCGCAGCUAACGCGUGAAGUUGACCGCCUGGGGAGUACGGUCGCAAGAUUAAAACUCAAAGGAAUUGACGGGGACCCGCACAAGCGGUGGAUGAUGUGGAUUAAUUCGAUGCAACGCGAAAAACCUUACCUACCCUUGACAUGUCUGGAAUGCCGAAGAGAUUUGGCAGUGCUCGCAAGAGAACCGGAACACAGGUGCUGCAUGGCUGUCGUCAGCUCGUGUCGUGAGAUGUUGGGUUAAGUCCCGCAACGAGCGCAACCCUUGUCAUUAGUUGCUACGAAAGGGCACUCUAAUGAGACUGCCGGUGACAAACCGGAGGAAGGUGGGGAUGACGUCAAGUCCUCAUGGCCCUUAUGGGUAGGGCUUCACACGGUCAUACAAUGGUCGGGACAGAGGGUCGCCAACCCGGCGAGGGGGGAGCCCAAUCCCAGAAACCCGAUCGUAGUCCGGAUCGCAGUCUGCAA